AGCCCUGUAGUACAGUGGUCAAGUAUGAAGGCCUCUGGCGCCUUAGACCCAGGUUCGAAUCCUGGCAGGGCUA
rfam:Candidatus Pacearchaeota archaeon RBG_16_35_8 RBG_16_scaffold_40142, whole genome shotgun sequence.